UACGUAGGGUGCAAGCGUUGUCCGGAAUUAUUGGGCGUAAAGAGCUCGUAGGCGGUUUGUCGCGUCUGCUGUGAAAACUCGGGGCUUAACCCCGGGCCUGCAGUGGGUACGGGCAGACUAGAGUGCGGUAGGGGAGACUGGAAUUCCUGGUGUAGCGGUGAAAUGCGCAGAUAUCGGGAGGAACACCAGUGGCGAAGGCGACUACCUGGCCUGUUCUUGACGCUGAGGCGCGAAAGCUAGGGGAGCAAACGGG
rnacentral:rRNA from 1 species